rnacentral:rRNA from 1 species
UACGGGGGGAGCAAGCGUUGUUCGGAUUUACUGGGCGUAAAGGGCGCGUAGGCGGCCACCGCAAGUCGACUGUGAAAUCUCCGGGCUUAACCCGGAAAGGUCAGCCGAUACUGCGGGGCUAGAGUGCAGAAGGGGCAACUGGAAUUCUCGGUGUAGCGGUGAAAUGCGUAGAUAUCGAGAGGAACACCUAUGGCGAAGGCAGCUUGCUGGGACGGUACUGACGCUGGAGACGCGAAAGCGUGGGGAGCAAACAGG